rnacentral:rRNA from 1 species
AGAUUGAACGCUGGCAGCAGGCCUAACACAUGCAAGUCGAGCGGUAGAGAGGUGCUUGCACCUCUUGAGAGCGGCGGACGGGUGAGUAAUGCCUAGGGAUCUGCCUAGUGGUGGGGGAUAACGUUCGGAAACGGACGCUAAUACCGCAUACGUCCUACGGGAGAAAGCCGGGGACCAGCAAUGGCCUGGCGCUGAUAGAUGAGCCGAUGUCGGAUUAGCUAGUUGGUGAGGUAAUGGCUCACCAAGGCGACGAUCCGUAGCUGGUCUGAGAGGAUGAUCAGCCACACUGGAACUGAGACACGGUCCAGACUCCGUACGGGAGCAGCAGUGGGGAAUAUGGACAAUGGCGCAAGCCUGAUCCAGCCAUACCGCGU